UGGGGAAUCUUCCGCAAUGGACGAAAGUCUGACGGAGCAACGCCGCGUGAGUGAAGACGGCCUUCGGGUUGUAAAGCUCUGUGAUCCGGGACGAAAGAGCCUGAGGUGAAUAGCAUAAGGAAGUGACGGUACCGGAAAAGCAAGCCACGGCUAACUACGUGCCAGCAGCCGCGGUAAUACGUAGGUGGCAAGCGUUGUCCGGAAUUAUUGGGCGUAAAGCGCGCGCAGGCGGCUUGCUAAGUCCAUCUUAAAAGUGCGGGGCUUAACCACGUGAUGGGAUGGAAACUGGGAAGCUGGGGUAUCGGGGAGGAAAGUAGAAUUCCUAGUGUAGCGGUGAAAUUCGUAGAAAUUAAGAAGAACACCGGUGGCGAAGGCGACUUUCUGGACGAAAACUGACGCUGGGGCGCGAAAGCGUGGGGAGCAAAAAGG
rnacentral:rRNA from 1 species